AUGCAUUGAAUGCAUCCCAUGCGAUCAACAUGCCAGUGCCAAUGACAGCGCAUAUGAUGGAAGUGAUGCAGGAGCUGAUGAA
rnacentral:snoRNA from 1 species